UACGUAGGGUGCGAGCGUUAAUCGGCAUUACUGGGCGUAAAGCGUGCGCAGGCGGUUUUGUAAGGCAGAUGUGAAAGCCCCGGGCUUAACCUGGGAAUGGCAUUUGGGACUGCAAGGCUGGAGUGUGGCAGAGGAGACUGGAAUUCCUGGUGUAGCAGUGAAAUGCGUAGAUAUCAGGAGGAAUACCGAUGGCGAAGGCAGGUCUCUGGGCUGACACUGACGCUCAUGCACGAAAGCGUGGGGAGCAAACAGG
rnacentral:rRNA from 1 species